GGACUAGAGUCGGCUGGCCAAUCAGCAUUUUUCUGCCAAUGUUAGCUGACGUAUGUCGUCAUUGGUCACGACGUCGCUCGUCAUUGGUCGCAGCCUUCUGGGAGGAGCCAGAGAGGCGGACACAGGAAGUCGGAAAACCGAUUUAAAAACAUGUUUGAAACGUUGCUCUUGUUCGCCAGUACUGUGAGUAAACGUCGUCAAGGAAGAUGUCUUGGCUGCCAAAACAAAUUCUGGAGCUGCUUUUUUUGUUGGACACGAGCUGACUACACCUGUGGCGUGAAGGUUUACUGGUUCAGCUGCUGCAGCCUGGACAGAAACACCAGCUCUCAUCUUACAGACCAAACAGGUGUCACUACUUUGUCCACGAUCGCAGAGUCUUCAUACAUUGAAGAAGUUCUCUGAAACCAGGAUUGAUUCCUCCAGGACUCAAACUUCAACCAUUAAAUCACAGAGAGAAGAGACCGACAUUUCCAGAAGGUCUUCAGCUGCUGUCAUCUUUUCCUCCUGCAGAGACAAUGACAGGUCUAUCUUUCCUUUCUUAAACUGUAUUUUUGAUCUCUAAUCACAAUUUAAACUAAACCUUUUACAACUCAGUAUCACAUAGUUUAGUGUGUUUUUCUAAUUAUUAGUCACACUAAUGACAAGAUAUAGUUCUGAAACUAUAUAAAAUAAGAAUCUACUGUAAUCAUUACAUAUUUAUAUCUCAAAUUUCAUAAACAUGAACCAUGUAAUAAAUACAGUGAAACAAUUUAAACUGUUUUACUGCACAGUACUUACAAAGGUAAAUGACAAAUGAAAUUUCAUGCCUAUGAGAGUGUAUUUAACUUUCUUUUCAAAAAUUGUUUUAUUGAAAUGACUUUGCUAAGGUUAAUUAUUUUACAAAAAUGGUAUUAUUUAAUAAAUUACUUACGCAGGUUAAUCAGAUAUUUUACUAAACAUAUUUUUAUUUUUCAUGACACAUGGUAUUUUCUUAACAAAGAAUAUUCUGAUUUCACUGCAUACUACACUGUGCCCUUUUUUAAAGAUAUUUUUUGACGCCUUACAAUACUAUGAAUGCGUGUCUGUGGUAAACGAAGGUAAGAUGGGUGCUUUUCCUUUGCCACAAUUCAGUCAGUCACAUCAGUGUUUGUGGGUUAGGUGAGAUUUAGUCAUUUCAUUGUGGAAUUUUGUUAUUUUGAACUAUGCAAUAUAUUAUUGUGUACAAAGUCCUCCUUAUACUGCUCAUAUUGUUGAUAAUUUUUACAUCUUGUCUUGUGCCUUUUUCUAUUUUUGCUGCUGCAACACUGAAUUUCCCCACUGUGGGACUAGUAAACGAUUAUUUUACUCUUAUUUAAAUAAAUACGUCUGAACACUGA